rnacentral:rRNA from 1 species
AAACAAACAAGUAAGGGUAUUCGAUGGAUGCCUAGGCGAUGAGAGGCGAUGAAGGACGUAAUAGGCUGCGAUAAGCUGUGGGGAGCUGCCAGUAAGCUGUGAUCCGCAGAUUUCCGAAUGGGUCAACCCAACUAAUUUAUUAGUUACCUUAAAUUGAAUUCAUAGAUUUAAGGAGCGAACCUGGAGAAUUGAAAUAUCUUAGUAACCAGAGGAAAGGAAAUCAAUAGAGACUCCGUUAGUAGUGACGAGCGAAAGCGGACUAGACCAAUGACCUAUAAUUAAAUAAUUGGAAUGUUUUGGAAAAGACAGCCAUAGAGAGUGAUAGCCUCGUACAUAGGUUUUAAUUAUAGGUAUACGAGUAGGGCGGAGCACGUGAAAUUCCGUCUGAAGUGGGGUAAUGCCCGAGGAGAACCAUCUUCUAAGUCUAAGUACUACUCAGCGACCGAUAGUGAACAAGUACCGUGAGGGAAAGGUUAAAAGAACCCCGGGAGGGGAGUGAAAUAGAUCCUGAAAUCGAAUACCUACAAACAGUUGGAGCUUUUGUGACUUUUAAGUCAUAUAUUGUGACAGCGUACCUUUUGUAUAAUGGGUCAGCGAGUGAAUUUAUUCAGCAAGCUUAAGUCGUGAGAUGUAGGCGUAGCGAAAGCGAGUCUGAAUAGGGCGAUUUAGUUGGAUGGAUUCGACCCGAAACCAAGUGAUCUAGCCAUGGCCAGACUGAAGAUAAGGUAAUACUUAUUGGAGGGUCGAACCCGUUACUGUUGCAAUAGUAUGGGAUGAGUUGUGGCUAGGGGUGAAAGGCCAAUCAAACUUGGAUAUAGCUGGUUCUCUGCGAAAUCUAUUUAGGUAGAGCGUCAUGUGUAUCUUAUUGAGGGUAGAGCUCUGAAUGGGCUAUGGGGAUUAACGUCUUACUGAACUCAAUCAAACUUCGAAUAUCAUUAAGUUUUGCAUGGCAGACACACUACGGGUGAUAAGAUCCGUGGUGAAGAGGGAAAGAGCCCAGAUCGCUAUAUAAGGUCCCUAAAUUGUGGCUAAGUGUGAAAGGAGGUGAAAGGGCCAACACAGCUAGGAGGUGGGCUUAGAAGCAGCCAUCCUUUAAAGAAAGCGUAACAGCUCACUGGUCUAAAUAAGCCUUUUUGCGCCGAAGAUGUAACGGGGCUAAAGUCACAUACCGAAUAUGCGAAUCUUCAUUUAUUUGAAGAUGGUAGCAGAGCGUUCUGUAAGCCGUCGAAGAUCAAUUGUGAAGUUGGUUGGAGGUAUCAGAAGUGAGAAUGCUGACAUGAGUAACGUUAAAGAGUGUGAGAUGCACUCUCGCCGAAAAUCUAAGGUUUCCCACGUCAAGGUAGUCUGCGUGGGGUUAGUCGGUUCCUAAGGCGAGAUCGAAAGGAGUAGUCGAUGGGAAGCAGGUUAAUAUUCCUGCACCUGUACAAUUGUGACGAAUCUCGUAGCUAAUUUUUCUUAUUGGAUUGAUAAUAGUUAGUGAGAGGUUCCAAGAAAUAGCAUGUACAUAAAAGGCCGUACCGUAAACCGACACUGGUAGAUGGAUAGAGUAUAUUAAGGCGUUUGAGAUAACAAUGUUGAAGGAACUCGGCAAAUUGCAUCCGUAACUUAGGGAGAUGGAUGACCUUAUUUAGGGCAACCUUUUUAAGGUGUAACACAACAGGGGGUGGUGACUGUUUAUCAAAAACACAGGACUAUGCAAACACGUAAGUGGAAGUAUAUGGUCUGACGCCUGCCCGGUGCUGGAAGGUUAACAGGAGGGGUGAAUAGCUCUGAAUCGAAGCCCCAGUAAACGGCGGCCGUAACACUGACGGUCCUAAGGUAGCGAAAUUCCUUGUCGGGUAAGUUCCGACCUGCACGAAUGGCGUAACAAUCGCCCCGCUGUCUCCAACAUUGACUCAGUGAAAUUGAAAUCCCCGUUAAGAUGCGGGGUACCCGCGGUGGGACGAAGAGACCCCGUGCACCUUUACUAUAUCUUUAUAUUGAUAUUAGAAUGGCAAUGUGUAGGAUAGGUGGAAGAAUUUGAAGCUAUGGCGCUAGUUAUAGUGGAUUCAACCUUGAAAUACCACCCUUUUUCAUUUUGAUAUCUAACUAUUUUCCAUUAUCUGGAAUUAGGACAUUGUAUGGUUGGUAGUUUGACUGGGGCGGUCGCCUCCUAAAGAGUAACGGAGGCGUGCGAAGGUAGGCUCUGGCUGGUUGGAAAUCAGUCUUAGAGUGCAAUGGCAAAAGCCUGCCUGACUGCGAGCCUGACAGGGCGAGCAGGGACGAAAGUCGGUCAUAGUGAUCCGGUGAUUCUGCGUGGAAGGGUCAUCGCUCAACGGAUAAAAGGUACGCCGGGGAUAACAGGCUGAUAGUGCUCGAGAGUUCAUAUCGACGGCACUGUUUGGCACCUCGAUGUCGACUCAUCACAUCCUGGAGCUGAAGAAGGUUCCAAGGGUUCGGCUGUUCGCCGAUUAAAGUGGUACGUGAGUUGGGUUCAGAACGUCGUGAGACAGUUCGGUUUCUAUCUACCGCGGGCGUUUAGAGAUUUGAGAGGGUCUGAUUCUAGUACGAGAGGACCGAAUUGGGUGUACCUAUGGUGUUCCAGUUGUUGUGCCAACAGCAUUGCUGGGUAGCUACGUACAUUAAAGAUAACCGCUGAAAGCAUCUAAGUGGGAAGCUUGCCUCAAGAAUAGAUCUCUCAUAAGGGAGGUAAUAGAUUAUUACUUUGAUAGGCUAGGUGUGUAAGUGCGGUAACGUAUUGAGCUAACUAGUACUAAUUUCCCGGUUGGUUUGUUUUU